rnacentral:rRNA from 1 species
GGGACUUACACUCCCAACCCCUGUGACAUACCAAUUGUUGCCUCGGCGGAUCAGCCCGCUCCCGGUAAAACGGGACGGCCCGCCAGAGGACCCCUAAACUCUGUUUCUAUAUGUAACUUCUGAGUAAAACCAUAAAUAAAUCAAAACUUUCAACAACGGAUCUCUUGGUUCUGGCAUCGAUGAAGAACGCAGCAAAAUGCGAUAAGUAAUGUGAAUUGCAGAAUUCAGUGAAUCAUCGAAUCUUUGAACGCACAUUGCGCCCGCCAGUAUUCUGGCGGGCAUGCCUGUUCGAGCGUCAUUUCAACCCUCAAGCCCCCGGGUUUGGUGUUGGGGAUCGGCGAGCCCUUGCGGCAAGCCGGCCCCGAAAUCUAGUGGCGGUCUCGCUGCAGCUUCCAUUGCGUAGUAGUAAAACCCUCGCAACUGGUACGCGGCGCGGCCAAGCCGUUAAACCCCCAACUUCUGAAUGUUGACCUCGGAUCAGGUAGGAAUACCCGCUGAACUUAAGCAUAUCAUAAGGCCGGAGGAAACCCCACACAAA